rnacentral:rRNA from 1 species
CGAUGAUGCCCACUUGUGGGUGGAUUAGUGGCGAACGGGUGAGUAACACGUGAGUAACCUGCCCUUAACUCUGGGAUAAGCCUGGGAAACUGGGUCUAAUACCGGAUAUGACUCCUCAUCGCAUGGUGGGGGGUGGAAAGCUUUUUUGUGGUUUUGGAUGGACUCGCGGCCUAUCAGCUUGUUGGUGAGGUAAUGGCUCACCAAGGCGACGACGGGUAGCCGGCCUGAGAGGGUGACCGGCCACACUGGGACUGAGACACGGCCCAGACUCCUACGGGAGGCAGCAGUGGGGAAUAUUGCACAAUGGGCGCAAGCCUGAUGCAGCGACGCCGCGUGAGGGAUGACGGCCUUCGGGUUGUAAACCUCUUUCAGUAGGGAAGAAGCGAAAGUGACGGUACCUGCAGAAGAAGCGCCGGCUAACUACGUGCCAGCAGCCGCGGUAAUACGUAGGGCGCAAGCGUUAUCCGGAAUUAUUGGGCGUAAAGAGCUCGUAGGCGGUUUGUCGCGUCUGCCGUGAAAGUCCGGGGCUCAACUCCGGAUCUGCGGUGGGUACGGGCAGACUAGAGUGAUGUAGGGGAGACUGGAAUUCCUGGUGUAGCGGUGAAAUGCGCAGAUAUCAGGAGGAACACCGAUGGCGAAGGCAGGUCUCUGGGCAUUAACUGACGCUGAGGAGCGAAAGCAUGGGGAGCGAACAGGAUUAGAUACCCUGGUAGUCCAUGCCGUAAACGUUGGGCACUAGGUGUGGGGGACAUUCCACGUUUUCCGCGCCGUAGCUAACGCAUUAAGUGCCCCGCCUGGGGAGUACGGCCGCAAGGCUA